rfam:Tinamus guttatus contig27827, whole genome shotgun sequence.
CAGAAUACAGUUUAAUGGAGAAUAUCAGCUUUGGGAGUUGGAGUUAGAGGUUUAAGUCCUCUUUUUCUGA